GAAACAAGACAGGCAAUAAGGAAAUGGCUGUGUGGAUGUUUAAGCUGCUGUCUGAAGUCAAAACACCACAGUUAAUGCUUUGGGAGAACUCAGAAGCAUUCUGUGUAGUGUCAAAGCUGUGAGAGGAAUGUUAGCACUCAGUGGAAACACAGCAGAAACAUGGACAACCCAGAGAUGGAUGUCAUGACAUUGCAACAGUUAAACACUGAUCAGAAUGGUAUGCUAAUACCAAGUACACAGGUUUGUGCUGAAUGCCUACUUAUCAAGGAAAUCUGUUGGCAGAGAUAAGCUGCAAUAAACAGACCUUCAAAGGAAGGAAGCCCAUGAAUAAUGGCAUGUCAUCUGGCACAAGCCAAAAGUUAUGUACUCAGGAAUCACCUUAGCACGUUAAUCCAUUUUCAAGGAAAGCUGAACAGUCACCUACCUGCUCUGCCUCGAAGGCUGACCCACUUAAUUUUCUUCCUGGGUGGCAUCUCGCCGUUCUGCUUUGUCUUCCAGACUAAAGCUUUCAGUCUCUGGUCAUGUGAAUCUGCAUGAGAAUCUGCUGAUGCUUUCUACUACUUUUUAUGAUGCCUCAAAGUGCUUACCUAAAUUACAUUGUUGGAUACAGAUGAGUAUUCAUUUUUAAUCAUUCCCAGAUGUGAUAGUGGUAGUAAACAUCCUGCUUCUCUGCUUAGAGUAAUAAUUAUAGCAAUUUGUAUCUUGGGGAUAAUGAUUUAUUCUUGCUAUUACUGCAAGCACUGUUACCACUAAAAUUAUUCAUUAAUGUAUGUCGAUGGUUUUACAAACUUCCAGAAUAUCAAAUUAAACACAUCGAACAACUUGGUCAUUGCAAAUACUGUUCAAAGGUUUUGCUAUCUAACAAAGUAAGUGAAGAAAAAGUACUAUAAUGUUAAGAGUGUUCCUUCUUUAUCUCUGAAAUCAAAAGUCUAAAGAGACAGAUUUGAGUUUUCUAAUAAUCAGUAUUGUUGAGAAAUUGGAAUCUCCAUCCUAUAAAAUUUCUUGUAUUUAAUAGAAAUCAUUUAUUUUCUUUUAUUUUAUUUCUAAGUACAGAAGAACAUAGAAAAAAUAAGUAGGUUGCUCUGAAAGUAAUGCCUCAUUUAUUUCCAUGGAAACCAUAGCGUAUACAAAAAGCUCAAUAACACUAUUUUAUAGAUCAAAUUCUCAGCUACAAAACACAGUUUUUUAUUAUUAUUAUUAUUAUUAUUAUUAUCUUUUUUUUUUUUUUCCAAAAAUGGAUAGUUACCACAACUACCAUUUUUGGUAGCAAUGAACAAGAGCCUGCACACCAGGCUCACAAAAAAUUUGCACCCAUGGGGGUGACCCACUGUCACUGUUGCCACUGCUGAAACACACCACCCACCAUCUCACUGCAUUCAUAUCCACUAUUUGAUCUCCAGAAGCAUUCAGCAAGUGUCAAUGAAUGUCAGUGGGUGCCAUUUCUUCCACAUGGAGAAAUUCAGUGGCACACAUCUGCUUCAUAUGCACUUCCAUUUAAGAUGCCAUUUUGUCAAACUGCCCCUCUGCUGCCAUCUGUCACAUGGCAACAAAACACAACAGAAUAUUGUUGGGAAGGUUCAGCCUCUACUGCCAUACCACCAACACCUGCUGCAUUAUAUCAUGGGCUGACACAACAAAACAGGAGAUAUUACUUUUGGAUCAGCAUGCAUAG
rnacentral:lncRNA from 1 species